rnacentral:rRNA from 1 species
AUUGAACGCUGGCGGCAUGCCUUACACAUGUAAGUCGAGCGGCAGCACGGGUGCUUGCACCUGGUGGCGAGUGGCGAACGGGUGAGUAAUACAUCGGAACAUGUCCUGUAGUGGGGGAUAGCCCGGCGAAAGCCGGAUUAAUACCGCAUACGAUCUACGGAUGAAAGCGGGGGACCUUCGGUCCUCGCGCUAUAGGGUUGGCCGAUGGCUGAUUAGCUAGUUGGUGGGGUAAAGGCCUACCAAGGCGACGAUCAGUAGCUGGUCUGAGAGGACGACCAGCCACACUGGGACUGAGACACGGCCCAGACUCCUACGGGAGGCAGCAGUGGGGAAUUUUGGACAAUGGGCGAAAGCCUGAUCCAGCAAUGCCGCGUGUGUGAAGAAGGCCUUCGGGUUGUAAAGCACUUUUGUCCGGAAAGAAAUCCUUGGCCCUAAUACGGUCGGGGGAUGACGGUACCGGAAGAAUAAGCACCGGCUAACUACGUG